rnacentral:rRNA from 1 species
GAAUCUUCCGCAAUGCGCGAAAGCGUGACGGAGCAAUGCCGCGUGCAGGAUGAAGCCCCUCGGGGUGUAAACUGCUGUCAGGGAUUAGCAACACAAUGAGCAAACCCAAAGGAAGACGCGACUAACUCUGUGCCAGCAGUCGCGGUAAUACAGAGGCCUCAAGCGUUAAUCGGAGUCAUUGGGCUUAAAGCGUACGUAGGCGGACGCGCAGGCAUCUUGUGAAAUCCCCCGACUCAACCGGGGAACGGCUUGGUGAACCGCGCGCCUUGAGACAGGUAGGGGCCAUCGGAACGAUAGGUGGAGUGGUGAAAUGCGUUGAUAUCUAUCGGAACGCCGAAGGAGAAAUCAGGUGGCUGGGCCUGUUCUGACGCUCAGGUACGAAAGCGUGGGGAGCGAACGGG